GGUAUUUUUAGGGUGAGGGAAGGAAGGCAUCCCCUCAUGGGUGUUUAAGAGCAGCUACCUACUAAGUUUACUUUGAAGCUUUUUUUUGCACACUGAACUCAAUUGUGAGUUAUUACUGUUACCCAGACAACUUCAGCUCAUUGAGGUGGUAUGGGUGCAUUGUUCCAUAUCUCUUAACCCUACAGUGGUAAUUAUUGCAGUUUGGGAUAAACUACAAUAAU